rfam:Cycloclasticus sp. symbiont of Bathymodiolus heckerae isolate specimen P Ga0097674_1118, whole genome shotgun sequence.
GGAGAGAUGGCAGAGCGGUUGAAUGCACCGGUCUUGAAAACCGGCAUAGGUUUAUCCCUAUCCAGGGUUCGAAUCCCUGUCUCUCCG